rnacentral:lncRNA from 1 species
UACUUGCGAAGUCAGAGUGUGAUCGAGAUGGGAUUGACCACUCCAAGAGUUGGAGAAGAAUGAGUCGCUGUAUUUCAAUUUAGCAAUACCUUGGCCAGGGUAAUCCAUCAGAUGGAUUUGAUAUUUUGAAAUACAAUGUGAAAAACCAGAUCAGAGUUGACAGUUGAACUCUGGAGUGUCCUAUGAUCAUUUUGGUCAAGGGGAUGAAUUAUAUGAAAACUAUAUCCGCAUGGGUUCUAAGGAUGUUGUUCUACACAUUCGACCUAUUCGGUCGUCAGGUACCAUUGCUAGAUGGUCCUUCGAUUGGUACAAAAAUUUAUUUCUGUG